AGAUACUGGGCGUAUGUCAAAAGGAGCAAAGAAGCCGCAGUUACAUGCUGCAAAUUGACCCCAUUUGCUUUGUACAAAAGUCCCCCUGGUGUGUAUUGAGCUUGGAAAUUAGGUGAUCCUGGAACUAAAGAGCAAAUGUAGUUGUCCGAGUGAAAUUUGUAUGAUUGAAAAUCUUGGUUCUUUUCUUUUAAGAACUCCUGUGAAGUGAUACAACUUAGAUAAGCUUUUUGAUUUGAAAUAUUGCAGAAGAUUCAGGCGUUUGGGUUUAGAAUAAACCUGGGAAAGAAGGACCUUGGUGCCUGCUCGCUUGUUGUCCCAAUUGAAGGAGUAGUCAUCAUCGUUUGCUCCCAAUGAUGGGCCAUUGGAUUUGAUGUAAGACAAGUAUGAACUGUUCCGCGAAGCUUUAUAUAACCAUGCUGCCCCCCAGAGAAGCUCGUCCUAAUUAUCACAAUUGGGGUCAGUGAUGAAGAUGAUUCAGUUAAAUAAAGCCAGAAACAUGUGGGGUGCCUCACCUGGUAUCCAGAGUAAGAGCAGUAAAAUGGGCAAACAACUGAGCUGAGAGAGUCACUAUAAGAACCCCUGUACUUGUCUGCAAAUUCGAAUACCUGCGCCAAAACAAUUCACACUCUUGUAAACAGGCCUGGUGGGGAACAGAUAUUGAUUGGUGCAAUUACGCUGAUUGAUGGUUGAAGUAAUAAUAUUAUGCUAACACCAACUCCAAGUGGUAGACUAGAGACCAACUUGAGUUUGGAAAUGAAACAAUGAAAACAACAUAGAAGAUGUGACUUGGUGAAGAUAUCUACAUUUUGGUUUUAGAAAGAAUAGAGAUGAGUCGAAUGAUGUCAUUACAAUCAGAGGUAAAAGCUUAAGCUGAUAGUUAGAUGAAUUCCUUAAUACCUCAUGCGUUGUUGUCGAGAUUCGAACCCUGAUGGCUUAAAUACCAGUUUGCAUGCAUGGAUCCUCACCUUCAUGGCAGUUUUAAGCAAUUUGGAGGAGUAUGGAGGGUUGGAAUCUUUAAACACAAUAGAAGCUGCAGCUAGUGCUGCGGCUGUCUCUGCUGCUACAUCAGACCCUGGGUUCUGAGUAGAGACUUUGUACGCAUUUUGUGGCGUAUCCAUAUCUUCAGGCCUCUCCCAGCAUUGGUGAUCAGCAUUAGGAUCUCCUACCUGUUUCAUCAGCAUGAAACAGAAUCAGAAAACUUGCUGAUAAAAGAAACUACAAUCGAUAAUGACACUGUCAGUCUGCUUACUUGGACAUAUAAGGUGCCAGGAGUAGCAGUAGCUGCCUUCAAAAGAUAAUCUGUGCUCCAUCGAAUGGCGCUUCUGGCAUGUGUAACCUGGUUCUUCAUUGAGCUACCAAAUUCAAUCACACUCCAUGACAAUAAUGUAGUUGUGAAAGCCAAAGGCAGGCCAAACUUAAUGUUAUCACCUGCAUCAUAAUAGCCGCCUACUAGGUCCACCCGAUCAGAGGAACCAGCAGAGAGGCCGGAAUUUCCUCUCCAUUUGACGUGCUGGUUAGACGGCAAUUUGCCGGAUCGCUGUCCCUCAAAAAACAGGAUCGAUUUUUCAAGAGCUUCAGAAUAAUCUCGAGAGGUAAAAGCAGAGCAAAAUAAGCCAAGUGAAAAAAUAGUCAAGGUAAGAAUCUGCACUGUUGAUGAACAUGUAAUAGUAGAUGAAGGAGCCAUUUUCUUUGCUCUUAUUACCUUCCUCUUAUUUGAUGAUGAAAUUUGUUUACAA